AGCUUUGCCAGCUAGCCUGAAGUUGUACAACGAUCUCCUCGGGCUUGGAUUUCAGAUGGUCCUUCUAACAGGCCGGCGUGAAGCUCGGCGGAACCUCACUGAGCAGAAUCUAUUGUCAUCAGGGUACCAUUCGUGGGAAAGGCUCAUCUUGAGGCAAGCAGCUGAUAUCGGGAAACCUGCAGUGGUCUAUAAAUCGGAAAGGCGAGCAGAUUUGGAAUCCCAAGGAUUCAUGAUCCAUGGGAACUCUGGAGAUCAAUGGAGUGACUUGCUUGGCUCACCAAUGGCUCACAGAUCCUUCAAGCUCCCAAACCCUAUGUACUACAUUGAGUGAUAAUGAUGUUGAUGGGAUUAGCAAAGAUCUGAACACGUUUUCUAGAAAUCCUG
rnacentral:misc_RNA from 1 species